rnacentral:rRNA from 1 species
AGCAGCCGCGGUAAUUCCAGCUCCAAUAGCGUAUAUUAAAGUUGCUGCAGUUAAAAGCUCGUAGUUGAAUUUCGGGGUUAGUAGGUUGGUCGUGCCUCAGGUAUGUACUGAUCUCACUGAUUCCUCCUUCCUGAUGAACCGUAAUGCCAUUAAUUUGGUGUUGCGGGGAAACUGGACUGUUACUUUGAAAAAUUAGAGUGUUUAAAGCAGGCUAACGCUUGAAUACAUUAGCAUGGAAUAAUGAAAUAGGACGUUCGAUCCUAUUUUGUUGGUUUCUAGGAUUGACGUAAUGAUUAAUAGGGAUAGUUGGGGGCAUUAGUAUUCAAUUGUCAGAGGUGAAAUUCUUGGAUUUAUUGAAGACUAACUACUGCGAAAGCAUUUGCCAAGGAUGUUUUCAUUAAUCAAGAACGAAAGUUAGGGGAUCGAAGACGAUCAGAUACCGUCGUAGUC